rnacentral:rRNA from 1 species
GACGAACGCUGGCGGCGUGCUUAACACAUGCAAGUCGAGCGGAAAGGCCCUUUCGGGGGUACUCGAGCGGCGAACGGGUGAGUAACACGUGAGUAAUCUGCCCUGGACUCUGGGAUAGCCACCGGAAACGGUGAUUAAUACCGGAUAUGACACCUUGCUGCAUGGUGGGGUGUGGAAAGUUUUUUCGGUCCAGGAUGUGCUCGCGGCCUAUCAGCUUGUUGGUGAGGUAAUGGCUCACCACGGCUUUGACGGGUAGCCGGCCUGGGAGGGUGAGCGGUCACACGGGGACUGAGACACGGCGCAGACUCCUACGGGAGGCAGCAGGGGGGAAUAUUGGACAAUGGGCGGAAGCCUGAUCCAGCAACGCCGCGUGAGGGAUGACGGCCUUCGGGUUGUAAACCUCGUUCAGUACCGACGAAGCGUGAGUGACGGUAGGUACAGAAGAGGGACCGGCCAACUACGUGCCAGCCGCCGCCGUAAAAC